CUACACGACGGUCUUACGAUCUCUGGCGAAUAAGGUGGAUGGGGAACAAGUUCGUAUCCACAAUCACGAAUUGUUGCCAUGGCAACUACUGAGGUGUGGGCUGGACCAUUGUCGUGAUGAAAAAGGACUCCCCUGGUGAGCAUUCCCGGCCUGU